UCCUAAUAAUAAACACAGUGAUGCUGGUUUUUUGUACCAGUAAGUCAUUACAGCUGCUAGGAUGGAAUGGGUGUGGUUUAUCUUUUAUCAUGGAUAUGACAGUAAACAAAAAUCAAUUGUACAUUAUUUUUAUUAAUAUGUUGGAAUCAAUAAUUAUUGUCCCUCCAUCUCUCUCUCUUUUUCUCUCUCUCUUUAUAGUCCUUGAUCCUUUAUGCCAGCUAUAUCACUUCAAAGCACAAGCUAAUAGUAGAAGAUUCUAUAUAAU